rnacentral:rRNA from 1 species
GAUGAACGCUGGCGGCGUGCCUAAUACAUGCAAGUCGAGCGAAUGGAUUAAGAGCUUGCUCUUAUGAAGUUAGCGGCGGACGGGUGAGUAACACGUGGGUAACCUGCCCAUAAGACUGGGAUAACUCCGGGAAACCGGGGCUAAUACCGGAUAACCUUUUGAACCGCAUGGUUCGAAAUUGAAAGGCGGCUUCGGCUGUCACUUAUGGAUGGCACCCCGUCGCAUUAGCUAGUUGGUGAGGUAACGGCUCACCAAGGCAACGAUGCGUAGCCGACCUGAGAGGGUGAUCGGCCACACUGGGACUGAGACACGGCCCAGACUCCUACGGGAGGCAGCAGUAGGGAAUCUUCCGCAAUGGACGAAAGUCUGACGGAGCAACGCCGCGUGAGUGAUGAAGGCUUUCGGGUCGUAAAACUCUGUUGUUAGGGAAGAACAAGUGCUAGUUGAAUAAGCUGGCACCUUGACGGUACCUAACCAGAAAGCCACGGCUAACUACGUGCCAGCCGCCGCAGUAA